rnacentral:rRNA from 1 species
UUAAGCGACUAAGCGUACACGGUGGAUGCCCUGGCAGUCAGAGGCGAUGAAGGACGUGCUAAUCUGCGAUAAGCGUCGGUAAGGUGAUAUGAACCGUUAUAACCGGCGAUUUCCGAAUGGGGAAACCCAGUGUGAUUCGUCACACUAUCAUUAACUGAAUCCAUAGGUUAAUGAGGCGAACCGGGGGAACUGAAACAUCUAAGUACCCCGAGGAAAAGAAAUCAACCGAGAUUCCCCCAGUAGCGGCGAGCGAACGGGGAGGAGCCCAGAGCCUGAAUCAGUGUGUGUGUUAGUGGAAGCGUCUGGAAAGGCGCGCGAUACAGGGUGACAGCCCCGUACACAAAAAUGCACAUGCUGUGAGCUCGAUGAGUAGGGCGGGACACGUGGUAUCCUGUCUGAAUAUGGGGGGACCAUCCUCCAAGGCUAAAUACUCCUGACUGACCGAUAGUGAACCAGUACCGUGAGGGAAAGGCGAAAAGAACCCCGGCGAGGGGAGUGAAAAAGAACCUGAAACCGUGUACGUACAAGCAGUGGGAGCACGCUUAGGCGUGUGACUGCGUACCUUUUGUAUAAUGGGUCAGCGACUUAUAUUCUGUAGCAAGGUUAACCGAAUAGGGGAGCCGAAGGGAAACCGAGUCUUAACUGGGCGUUAAGUUGCAGGGUAUAGACCCGAAACCCGGUGAUCUAGCCAUGGGCAGGUUGAAGGUUGGGUAACACUAACUGGAGGACCGAACCGACUAAUGUUGAAAAAUUAGCGGAUGACUUGUGGCUGGGGGUGAAAGGCCAAUCAAACCGGGAGAUAGCUGGUUCUCCCCGAAAGCUAUUUAGGUAGCGCCUCGUGAAUUCAUCUCCGGGGGUAGAGCACUGUUUCGGCAAGGGGGUCAUCCCGACUUACCAACCCGAUGCAAACUGCGAAUACCGGAGAAUGUUAUCACGGGAGACACACGGCGGGUGCUAACGUCCGUCGUGAAGAGGGAAACAACCCAGACCGCCAGCUAAGGUCCCAAAGUCAUGGUUAAGUGGGAAACGAUGUGGGAAGGCCCAGACAGCCAGGAUGUUGGCUUAGAAGCAGCCAUCAUUUAAAGAAAGCGUAAUAGCUCACUGGUCGAGUCGGCCUGCGCGGAAGAUGUAACGGGGCUAAACCAUGCACCGAAGCUGCGGCAGCGACGCUGAUGCGUUGUUGGGUAGGGGAGCGUUCUGUAAGCCUGCGAAGGUGUGCUGUGAGGCAUGCUGGAGGUAUCAGAAGUGCGAAUGCUGACAUAAGUAACGAUAAAGCGGGUGAAAAGCCCGCUCGCCGGAAGACCAAGGGUUCCUGUCCAACGUUAAUCGGGGCAGGGUGAGUCGACCCCUAAGGCGAGGCCGAAAGGCGUAGUCGAUGGGAAACAGGUUAAUAUUCCUGUACUUGGUGUUACUGCGAAGGGGGGACGGAGAAGGCUAUGUUGGCCGGGCGACGGUUGUCCCGGUUUAAGCGUGUAGGCUGGUUUUCCAGGCAAAUCCGGAAAAUCAAGGCUGAGGCGUGAUGACGAGGCACUACGGUGCUGAAGCAACAAAUGCCCUGCUUCCAGGAAAAGCCUCUAAGCAUCAGGUAACAUCAAAUCGUACCCCAAACCGACACAGGUGGUCAGGUAGAGAAUACCAAGGCGCUUGAGAGAACUCGGGUGAAGGAACUAGGCAAAAUGGUGCCGUAACUUCGGGAGAAGGCACGCUGAUAUGUAGGUGAAGUCCCUCGCGGAUGGAGCUGAAAUCAGUCGAAGAUACCAGCUGGCUGCAACUGUUUAUUAAAAACACAGCACUGUGCAAACACGAAAGUGGACGUAUACGGUGUGACGCCUGCCCGGUGCCGGAAGGUUAAUUGAUGGGGUUAGCGCAAGCGAAGCUCUUGAUCGAAGCCCCGGUAAACGGCGGCCGUAACUAUAACGGUCCUAAGGUAGCGAAAUUCCUUGUCGGGUAAGUUCCGACCUGCACGAAUGGCGUAAUGAUGGCCAGGCUGUCUCCACCCGAGACUCAGUGAAAUUGAACUCGCUGUGAAGAUGCAGUGUACCCGCGGCAAGACGGAAAGACCCCGUGAACCUUUACUAUAGCUUGACACUGAACAUUGAGCCUUGAUGUGUAGGAUAGGUGGGAGGCUUUGAAGUGUGGACGCCAGUCUGCAUGGAGCCGACCUUGAAAUACCACCCUUUAAUGUUUGAUGUUCUAACGUUGACCCGUAAUCCGGGUUGCGGACAGUGUCUGGUGGGUAGUUUGACUGGGGCGGUCUCCUCCUAAAGAGUAACGGAGGAGCACGAAGGUUGGCUAAUCCUGGUCGGACAUCAGGAGGUUAGUGCAAUGGCAUAAGCCAGCUUGACUGCGAGCGUGACGGCGCGAGCAGGUGCGAAAGCAGGUCAUAGUGAUCCGGUGGUUCUGAAUGGAAGGGCCAUCGCUCAACGGAUAAAAGGUACUCCGGGGAUAACAGGCUGAUACCGCCCAAGAGUUCAUAUCGACGGCGGUGUUUGGCACCUCGAUGUCGGCUCAUCACAUCCUGGGGCUGAAGUAGGUCCCAAGGGUAUGGCUGUUCGCCAUUUAAAGUGGUACGCGAGCUGGGUUUAGAACGUCGUGAGACAGUUCGGUCCCUAUCUGCCGUGGGCGCUGGAGAACUGAGGGGGGCUGCUCCUAGUACGAGAGGACCGGAGUGGACGCAUCACUGGUGUUCGGGUUGUCAUGCCAAUGGCACUGCCCGGUAGCUAAAUGCGGAAGAGAUAAGUGCUGAAAGCAUCUAAGCACGAAACUUGCCCCGAGAUGAGUUCUCCCUGACUCCUUGAGAGUCCUGAAGGAACGUUGAAGACGACGACGUUGAUAGGCCGGGUGUGUAAGCGCAGCGAUGCGUUGAGCUAACCGGUACUAAUGAACCGUGAGGCUUAACCUU